CUCAAUGAACUUAAAUAGCCGCAACCAACGUGCUAAGGUAGCAUAAUCAUUCGUCUUAUAAUUUAAGACCAGAACAAAAGAUUCAAUAUUUUCAAUUUUAUUUAAAACAUAAACAUUUAAUUUAUUUUAAAUAUAAAAAGAUAUUUAUAAAAAAAAAAGACGACAAGACCCUAUUGAACUUAACUAAAGUUAAACUGGGGUAGUUAAUUAAAAAAAAUUUUAAUAAGACCAUAAAAAAUACCUAAUACAAUUAAAUUAAUCAAGUUACCAUAGGGAUAACAGCGCAAUGAUUUUCUAAAGCUCUUAUUUAAAAAAUCCUUUACGACCUCGAUGUUGAAUUAAUAUUCUAUUAAAUGCAAUAAUACAAUAAGAAAGUCUGUUCGACUU
rnacentral:rRNA from 1 species